GAAAUGCGAUAAGUAAUGUGAAUUGCAGAAUUCAGUGAAUCAUCGAAUCUUUGAACGCACAUUGCGCCCGCCAGUAUUCUGGCGGGCAUGCCUGUUCGAGCGUCAUUACAACCCUCAGGCCCCCGGGCCUGGCGUUGGGGAUAGGCGGAAGCCCCCUGCGGGCACAACGCCGUCCCCCAAAUACAGUGGCGGUCCCGCCGCAGCUUCCAUUGCGUAGUAGCUAACACCUCGCAACUGGAGAGCGGCGCGGCCACGCCGUAAAACACCCAACUUCUGAAUGUUGACCUCGAAUCAGGUAGGAAUACCCGCUGAACUUAAGC
rnacentral:misc_RNA from 1 species